rnacentral:rRNA from 1 species
UGGGGAAUUUUGGACAAUGGGGGAAACCCUGAUCCAGCCAUCCCGCGUGUGCGAUGAAGGCCUUCGGGUUGUAAAGCACUUUUGGCAGGAAAGAAACGUCGCGGGUUAAUACCCCGCGAAACUGACGGUACCUGCAGAAUAAGCACCGGCUAACUACGUGCCAGCAGCCGCGGUAAUACGUAGGGUGCAAGCGUUAAUCGGAAUUACUGGGCGUAAAGCGUGCGCAGGCGGUUCGGAAAGAAAGAUGUGAAAUCCCAGAGCUUAACUUUGGAACUGCAUUUUUAACUACCGGGCUAGAGUGUGUCAGAGGGAGGUGGAAUUCCGCGUGUAGCAGUGAAAUGCGUAGAUAUGCGGAGGAACACCGAUGGCGAAGGCAGCCUCCUGGGAUAACACUGACGCUCAUGCACGAAAAGCGUGGGGAGCAAACAGGAUUAGAUACCCUGGUAGUCCACGCCCUAAACGAUGUCAACUAGCUGUUGGGGCCUUCGGGCCUUGGUAGCGCAGCUAACGCGUGAAGUUGACCGCCUGGGGGAGUACGGUCGCAAGGUUAAAACUC